rnacentral:rRNA from 1 species
GCCUGCCCAGUGAUAAAAUUCAACGGCCGCGGUACCCUAACCGUGCGAAGGUAGCAUAAUCACUUGUUCUCUAAAUAGGGACUAGUAUCAACGGCACCACGAGGGCUGUACUGUCUCCUUUCUCCCAUCAGUGAAACUGAUCUCCCCGUGAAAAAGCGGGGAUUAUUAUAUAAGACGAGAAGACCCCAUGGAGCUUUAAACUCAUCAUCCACUUCCUCACUUCUAUACCCAACCAUAUAAGGAACCUGUGUGAUAGUUUUGGGUUGGGGGGACCACGGAGUACAAUUUAACCUCCAUGACAAAUGGGCUACGCCCUUAUCUACGAACUACAACUCUAAGAAUCAUAAGCUGAUGUUUAAUGACCCGACAAUUCGAUCAACGAACCAAGUUACCCUGGGGAUAACAGCGCAAUCUACUUUAAGAGCCCCUAUCGACAAGUAGGUUUACGACCUCGAUGUUGGAUCAGGGCAUCCUGGGGGUGCAGCCGCUCCUAAUGGUUCGUUUGUUCAACGAUUAAAACCCU